UAAGGUGGUGUUUGUUUUUCUUGAAAAAGUCUUCAGAACCUCUUAUGUCUGCGCCGCGCAGACCGCGCGCAGACCUUUGGGUCUGAAGACUGUUUGUUUUCUCGAAGACCUUUCAUUAAAAAAGGUCUGCGAGACCACUUCUUGGUGUAGACAUGGACCAAUGUCUUCAUGAGUCUGCAGACCUCUUCUUCUUCACAAAACCCUAGCACCUCUUCAUCCCUUCUCCUCCACCCACCGUCCGCCACCACCUCUACCUCCGCCGCCCCUCCACCUCCGCCGCCCUACUCCAGCCGACACCCACCUCCAGCCGACACCCACUCCAGCCGCCCCUCCACCUCCGCCGCCCCACUCCGCCGGGUGCCUCGAUAUUCAUCUCUCAAACGCAUAUGUUGUUCCAUCUUCAUUGAUUCUGCUACUCGAUUGCUUCCACAGCGACUCGGCUAGUAAAAGAGAUGGGUAGGUGGUGUGAGAUGUUAAGAUCAGAUUUGCAUGAUAGAUCUUGAUGACACAUUUUCACCGGUGAUUAGAGGAAGAAAAAGAUCUACAAAUGUGAAGACAAAAAGAAAGAAUCACAUGAGAUAGGAGAAUGUCGCUUGUCAAAUAAAGAUGAAUUUGAAAGACAUGACUAAGAAAGAAUGAUCGGGACAUUGGAAGAAAGUAUAUAGUGGUUGGGUGAGUGUUGGGAGAGGGAGAGGGGUUGUUAUAAUUAUGUUAAUCAUAUAAAUAUAAUAUCAAAUUGUCAUGAUUUAUAAAGUAGUGUUACUUGUGAAUGUAAAACUAAAAGUAAAAAAUUGAGCCUUAAACUUUUUGUUGAAAAAAGUAAUAUGAUCUCUUUUUGUUUUU